rnacentral:rRNA from 1 species
CAGUCGCCGCGGGAAUACGAAGGGGGCUAGCGUUGUUCGGAUUUACUGGGCGUAAAGGGCGCGUAGGCGGACUGAUAAGUCAGGGGCGAAAUCCCAAGGCUCAACCUUGGAACUGCCUUUGAUACUGUUUGUCUUGAGUUCGAGAGAGGUAAGUGGAACUGCGAGUGUAGAGGUGAAAUUCGUAGAUAUUCGCAAGAACACCAGUGGCGAAGGCGGCUCACUGGCCCGAUACUGACGCUGAGGCACGAAAGCGUGGGGGGCAAACAGGAUUAGAUACCCCGGUAGUCCCUGUCUCUUAUAU